GACGAACGCUGGCGGCGUGCUUAACACAUGCAAGUCGAACGGAAAGGCCCUGCUUUUGUGGGGUGCUCGAGUGGCGAACGGGUGAGUAACACGUGAGUAACCUGCCCUUGACUUUGGGAUAACUUCAGGAAACUGGGGCUAAUACCGGAUAGGAGCUCCUGCUGCAUGGUGGGGGUUGGAAAGUUUCGGCGGUUGGGGAUGUACUCGCGGCUUAUCAGCUUGUUGGUGGGGUAGUGGCUUACCAAGGCUUUGACGGGUAGCCGGCAUGAGAGGGUGACCGGCCACAUUGGGACUGAGAUACGGCCCAGACUGCUACGGGAGGCAGCAGUGGGGAAUAUUGCACAAUGGGCGGAAGCCUGAUGCAGCAACGCCGCGUGCGGGAUGACGGCCUUCGGGUUGUAAACAGCUUUCGCCUGUGACGAAGCGUGAGUGACGGUAAUGGGUAAAGAAGCACCGGCUAACUACGUG
rnacentral:rRNA from 1 species